UACGUAGGGGGCGAGCGUUGUCCGGAUUUAUUGGGCGUAAAGAGCUCGUAGGCGGUUCCGUGAGUCGGCUGUGAAAUCUCCACGCUCAACGUGGAGGGGUCAGUCGAUACUGCGGUGACUCGAGUCCGGUAGGGGAGUGUGGAAUUCCCGGUGUAGCGGUGAAAUGCGCAGAGAUCGGGAGGAACACCCGUAGCGAAGGCGGCACUCUGGGCCGGUACUGACGCUGAGGCACGAAGGCCAGGGGAGCAAACGGG
rnacentral:rRNA from 1 species